rnacentral:rRNA from 1 species
AUGGACAGCGAGCGGCACCUACUCCGCGCAGUCCUGCUACCUCGCCACCUUCCAUGGAUCAACGGCUUGCUAUUCUUGGAAGCUAAUUUGGAAAUGCUAGGCGCCGCCGAGAGUCAAAUUCCUCCACUGGUUGGCCAACCAGGACCGGUGCUGGACUGCAGAGAGGCUGGCUCGCCAUGGACUCCAACAUCAUCCCCGCUGCCUCCUUUGUGA